rnacentral:rRNA from 1 species
AAGGUGGGGAUGACGUCAAAUCAUCAUGCCCCUUAUGACCUGGGCUACACACGUGCUACAAUGGGCAGAACAAAGGGCAGCGAAGCCGCGAGGCUAAGCCAAUCCCACAAAUCUGUUCUCAGUUCGGAUCGCAGUCUGCAACUCGACUGCGUGAAGCUGGAAUCGCUAGUAAUCGCGGAUCAGCAUGCCGCGGUGAAUACGUUCCCGGGCCUUGUA